rnacentral:tRNA from 1 species
AUAGUUUUUGAAAGCUGCUAACUUUUAGAUAGAUAGUU